CAUUGCAACAUCCAACUCCUCCACAUCAUUCUCUCUUCACCACAGCAGCAGGAAAGAUAAAUGGCAUUCCAGAAGAAACAUCUCAGCAGAAAUCCAUGCCAGUGCUACAUCUCUGCGUCUGACAGGAAGCCUUUAAUAUCUUUCUGGAUUGAGUCUACGUGAAUUGCCCAAGUGAGUGUGCCGUGUCCAGGGCUAGGUAUCAGAGCUUCCUGGCUCCAGGCCUUCUGUUUUGACACAGCUCUUUCAAAAGGUGACUCUAGACACUGGGGUCAGAUGAUGUUUUGAAAAUGCUCUCACAGAUGCCUUUUCUGCAUUCCUCCUGCCACUGUGGAUCGUGUCUUGGCUGGUGUGAUUAUUCAUGUGCUGCAGUGGUGAUGCUCUCUGGGGCAUUCAGUUGCUGCUGGAGAUGUGUGAUGGAAAAGGAACUCUGCUGCCUACUGUACAGCCUUAAAAUUGUGGCAGUUAAAUGGGAUUCUAAGUGAACAAGCUAAACAGUCUCUCAGGAGUUACACCUAUGGAAUACAGCCAAAGUGAGUACAAACUGAGCUUGUACUGCAUGGCACACAGCUGUGCAGCUGCAGGGCACCUUUGGCACAAAUGCUAUCCUGUGUUCACUGACCCUCACAUCUCGCGUUUGGAGAAACCUUGAUGGGAAGGAAUAAGGAUCACAUUUCAAAGCCUUCUCAGUCCACGUGAAAUAAACCAUGUCUCUAACACAGCUGUCUUACUGUCCCUUGCAGUCUUGAAACUUUAACUGUUAAGUGCAUGUUUGGGGAUUAAAGCAUGUUGUUUCCACAGAGCUUGUACUCUAGUUUUUGGGGCCCUGGUUCAGAGGUUUGGGAUGUGUGAUAUAUUGGGAACUGGUUUUCUUUUGCACAUUUUAAUUGUGCUAAAUCUGUUUUAAUAAAUGUAGAUUGCAAUGCCUGUGUCAUAAAAAUAUAAACCUUGUCAUAUGUGAUGACGAGAGUCUCUCAGCUAAAUUUGGCAAUACUACUGUAAAAAUAUUUUAAUAAGGUAACUGAACAGUCCAAAUAGUGAUAUUGUGGUUUUGUUGAAUGAUUUUUAAACUGCUGCCAUUUUUCUAGACUAUAUGGGUGUGCUUUGAAACAGAACCUUUUGAAAUGAGCCUUAAAUGUACUUUGGAAAAUAAGGCAGUUGGAAUCAAGUGAUAUUUAUUUUUUAAUUGGAUCCUGGGAUUAUUAACCUCUUGGUUACUGGGAAAGAAAUCUAGAUAGAAAUGACACAUUGCACUAUUACUUGCA